CGCCGACCCGCCGUGGGUGGCCGGCUUCCUGGGCUGGCUGCGCUCCGACGCGAACAUGCGUUCCGCGUCGCUGGUCGGCGC
rnacentral:tRNA from 1 species